rnacentral:tRNA from 1 species
GGACUCAUAGCUCAACUGGAUAGAGUGCCAGCCUGCGAAGCUGGAGGUUACGGGUUCGAAUCCCGCUGGGUCCA